ACAAGCGGUGGAGCAUGUGGUUAAUUCGAAGCAACGCGAAGAACCUUACCAGGCCUUGACAUGCAGAGAACUUCCAGAGAUGGAUUGGUGCCUUCGGGAACUCUGACACAGGUGCUGCAUGGCUGUCGUCAGUUCGUGUCGUGAGAUGUUGGGUUAAGUCCCGCAACGAGCGCAACCCUUGCCUUUAGUUGCCAGCAGUUCGGCUGGGCACUCUAAAGGGACUGCCGGUGUUAAACCGGAGGAAGGUGGGGAUGACGUCAAGUCCUCAUGGCCUUUAUGACCAGGGCUACACACGUACUACAAUGGCCGAUACAAAGGGCAGCGACACUGCGAGGUGAAGCCAAUCCCGUAAAAUCGGUCUCAGUCCGGAUUGGAGUCUGCAACUCGACUCCAUGAAGUUGGAAUCGCUAGUAAUCGUGAAUCAGAAUGUCACGGUGAAUACGUUCCCGGGCCUU
rnacentral:rRNA from 1 species